UACGGGGGGAGCAAGCGUUGUUCGGAUUUACUGGGCGUAAAGGGCGGGUAGGCGGCCACCGCAAGUCAGUUGUGAAAUCUCCGGGCUUAACCCGGAAAGGUCAACUGAUACUGCGGGGCUAGAGUGCAGAAGGGGCAACUGGAAUUCUCGGUGUAGCGGUGAAAUGCGUAGAUAUCGAGAGGAACACCUGCGGCGAAGGCGGGUUGCUGGGCUGACACUGGCGCUGAACUGCGAAAGCUAGGGGAGCGAACGGG
rnacentral:rRNA from 1 species